UACCAGCUCUCCGAGUGGUAGGGAUGAUUAUUGGGCUUAAAGCGUCCGUAGCCGGCUUAGCAAGUCUCCUGUUAAAUUCAGCGACCUAAUCGUUGAGCCGCGGGAGAUACUACUAGGCUAGGAGGCGGGAGAGGUCGACGGUACUUUCGGGGUAGGGGUGAAAUCCUAUAAUCCCGGGAGGACCACCAGUGGCGAAGGCUGUCGACUAGAACGCGCUCGACGGUGAGGGACGAAAGCUGGGGGAGCGAACCGGAUUAGAUACCCGGGUAGUCCCAGCUGUAAACGAUGCGGGCUAGGUGUUGGGGUGGCUACGUGCCACUUCAGUGCCGCAGGAAAGCCAUUAAGCCCGCCGCCUGGGGAGUACGGCCGCAAGGCUGAAACUUAAAGGAAUUGGCGGGGGAGCACCACAAGGCGUGAAGCUUGCGGUUC
rnacentral:rRNA from 1 species